rnacentral:snRNA from 1 species
GUGCUGGAUUUGGUAGUAUAUAUACUAAGGCUGGAAUGAUACAGGGAAAAUUAGUAUAACCUUUGUAUAAGAAUGACACACAUAUUUGUGAAGUGCUUCAUAUUUUC